rnacentral:rRNA from 1 species
CCUACGGGAGGCAGCAGUAGGGAAUUUUCCGCAAUGGACGCAAGUCUGACGGAGCAACGCCGCGUGAGUGAAGAAGGUUUUCGGAUCGUAAAACUCUGUUGUUAGAGAAGAACAAGUGCUAGCGUAACUGUUAGCGCCUUGACGGUAUCUAACCAGAAAGCCACGGCUAACUACGUGACAGCAGCUGCGGUAAUUCGUAGGUGGCAAGCGUUGUCCGGUUGUAUUGGGCGUAAAGCGAGCGCAGGCGGUUUGUUAAGUCUGAUGUGAACUCCCCCGGCUCAACCGGGGAGGGGCAUUUGAAACUGGUGAACUUGAGUGCGGGAGAGGAAAGUGGAAUUCCAGGUGUAGCGGUGAAAUGCGUAGAUAUAUGGAGGAACACCAGUGGCGAAGGCGACUCUCUGGUCUGUAACUGACGCUGAGGCUCGAAAGCGUGGGUAGCAAACAGGAUUAGAUACCCGAGUAGUC